GUCCGUAACAAUUUUAGGCAUAAAAUAUGGGUCCAGGUGAAGGACGACUUUGUCUAGAUGGAACUUCUAUGUCUAGAUGGAACUUUGUCUAGAUGGAACUUCGUAUAAGGAACAUCAAUGCGUAGGGCAUUUAGUUUGUUCACUCUCUGAGCUAAAGUUAUGGCCAAUAGAAAGGCCAUUUUCAAUGUUGUAAGUUUAGGUUGAGCCAUCACCAUAGGCUCAAAGCAUGGUUCUGUUAAGGCUGAUAGAACAAGGGAAAGACUCCAUUGUUCGGAGGACCACCUAAUAGGUGGGUAGAGGUUGUUCAACCCUUUCAUUAACCUCUUGGACUCCGGAUGCAAGAAAACUGACAUUCUGUCCCAGCCGGAAUGGUGGGCAGAAACAGUUGCCAGAUGGACUUUUAUAGAAACACUGGCCAACUUCUGCUGCUUCACAUCCGUAUUUGAAUGAAUACAGCAUGAGGAGCCAGUGGUCGGGAUAUGGAAAGACCAUCAGCCCUCAUGACCAAAGAAAUAGUUACAUCUGGUAAAGGCUUUCCCCUCAUGGAGCAAGAUUUAGUCUAAAGGUUCAGUCUCCAGGCCAUCAUAUUCAAUGUCCAGAAGCUGAGAUGGAGCACCUGGCCCCUGUUCUGGGAGAUAGGUUCAUCCUGGAGAAGGGGGAACCACAGCUGCCUCUGCCACCACAGUAAUGAACAUACGGUGGGAGAAGACUUGUGGACUCUCAAAGAAGGAUCUAUCAUUCAGCACAGAAGUAUAAAGAUGUUAUUUCUUAUGAAGAACAAUUUGAACUUUUAUGAGCACUUGAAAAAGUUUAUUGAAACAGCAAACAUUACCAGAAAGCUGCUGUUUACACACUUCAUCAAUAUUAUACUGUUGUUUUUAUCUAUUUCUGUUGUUUGGAUGUUAUUUCUUACGUCCAUAUUUCUAUUGUUGUUUGGAUGUCAUCUUGACUUGAAUGAUUUAUUCAUAUUACUAUACACAUGUAUGUUUCACCUUCAAUAUAAUCUAUAUUUGUA